UUGGAGGGCAAGUCUGGUGCCAGCAGCCGCGGUAAUUCCAGCUCCAAUAGCGUAUAUUAAAGUUGUUGCAGUUAAAAAGCUCGUAGUUGAAUUACGGGAUUAGUACGUUGGUCGUGCCUUCGGUACGUACUGGUGUUACUGAUUCCUACCUUCUGACGAACCAUCAUGUCAUUAGUUUGGUGUGGUGGGGAAUCAGGACUGUUACUUUGAAAAAAUUAGAGUGUUUAAAGCAGGCUCGCGCUUGAAUACAUUAGCAUGGAAUAAUGAAAUAGGACGUUGAUCCUAUUUUGUUGGUUUCUAGGAUUGACGUAAUGAUUAAUAGGGAUAGUUGGGGGCAUUAGUAUUCAAUUGUCAGAGGUGAAAUUCUUGGAUUUAUUGAAGACUAACUACUGCGAAAGCAUUUGCCAAGGAUGUUUUCAUUAAUCAAGAACGAAAGUUAGGGGAUCGAAGACGAUCAGAUACCGUCGUAGUCUUAACCAUAAACUAUGCCGACUAGGGAUCGGAUGAUGUUAUUUUUAAUGACUCAUUCGGCGCCUUACGGGAAAC
rnacentral:rRNA from 1 species